rnacentral:rRNA from 1 species
GACAUACACCGGAAACAUCCAGAGAUGGGUGCCCCCUUGUGGUCGGUGUACAGGUGGUGCAUGGCUGUCGUCAGCUCGUGUCGUGAGAUGUUGGGUUAAGUCCCGCAACGAGCGCAACCCUUGUCCCGUGUUGCCAGCAGGCCCCAGGGGUGGGGGGGAAUCACGGGAGACCGCAGGGGUCAAAUCGGAGGAAGGGGGGGAAGACGUCAAGUCAUCAUGCCCCCUAUGUCUUGGGGUGCCCACCUGCUACAAUGGCCGGUACAAAGAGGUGCGAUACCCCGAAGGGGAGGGUAUCUCAAAAAGCCGGUUUCAGUUCGGAAUGGC